rnacentral:lncRNA from 1 species
AUACAAACUAUUUAUUGAUUUGUAAUGUUCUACUGUAAUAUUUAAUUUUUACUGACUUUGCUUUCAUUGACGUGCAUUUAUUUGACUAGGUAGAAAGCUUUAAGGAAAUAGGAUAUUUGUUUUGUAGAAUGAAAAUGGUUUGAAAAGAAUACAUGUAUUUAAACUUUAACUUCUUGCUUUAAUACUUAAGAUUUAUCAUCUUGCUUUAAUACUUAAGAUUUAUCAUCUUGCUUUAAUGUUAGUGUAAUAACAAAAUGUAAAUCAAACAUUCCAUUUGAAGUGGUGAAGUACAUGGUGUUUUAAACUAAUAAAAUAUUUAUAUUUUAAGUGGGAAUAAAAACGUUUAAAAACAUUUCAAGUUGGGUUAAAAGAUAGUGAAUGUUUUAAUCAGUGAAUGAACCCUUU